UGCCGUACCUCGGGGUGGCCGGUCACCGGCCUGAGAUGCGUGGGGUGCCACGCGAACCCGUUGAACCUGAACCGGUUAGGACCGGCGGAGGGAAGGUUUCGGGACCAUGC
rnacentral:ncRNA from 2 species